rnacentral:rRNA from 1 species
ACGAAGGGGGCUAGCGUUGUUCGGAAUUACUGGGCGUAAAGCGCACGUAGGCGGAUCGAUCAGUCAGGGGUGAAAUCCCGGGGCUUAACCCCGGAACUGCCUUUGAUACUGUCGAUCUGGAGUCCGGAAGAGGUGAGUGGAAUUCCGAGUGUAGAGGUGAAAUUCGUAGAUAUUCGGAGGAACACCAGUGGCGAAGGCGGCUCACUGGUCCGGUACUGACGCUGAGGUGCGAAAGCGUGGGGAGCAAACAGGA